GUGCAGUGAGGCCAGCGUUCUCUGCUAGUUUCCUCCAGUUGCCCUUAGUAGAAAUUAUCAUUAUGCUUUGAAUGUAAUUCACUGCAGGCCCUGAUGCCUUACAUCACAUUUUUUUUCCAUAAAAAAGAAGACUAGUAGCUUCUAAAGCUCCUUAACUGAUACGAAACUAAGGCAUGGUACUUAAAAAAGCCCCAUGAAUGUCUAGAAUAACAUAUUUGUAUUUCUUGAUUAAUUAUAUAUGAGUAAUAACAUAGAUAUGCAUAAAAUAAAAAACACAAGUAUAUCAAUGUAAAACGCAACUUUUCAGGACUACCUUGUAUUUGGUACAUUAUAUCUAAAACUUUCCUCCUCCAUUAUUUGAAGUAUAUUUUGGAAUUAGUUCAGAUAAAGAAAAGCCCUUGGGCAUAAUUCACUAUUUAUCUAUAUACAAUAUUGAAAUACAGAUC
rnacentral:lncRNA from 1 species